rnacentral:rRNA from 1 species
CCCAAAAAAAGUAAGUCCCAGUUCGGAUUGAAGGCUGAAAUUCGCCUUCAUGAAGCCGGAAUUGCUAGUAAUGGCAGGUCAGCAUACUGCCGUGAAUACGUUCCCGGGCCUUGUACACACCGCCCGUCACACCAUGAGAGUUGGGAAUACCCGAAGCCUGUGAGCUAACGUUAAGAGGCAGCAGUCGAAGGUAGAAUCAAUGAUUGGGGUGAAGUCGUAACAAGGUAAC